rnacentral:rRNA from 1 species
GACGAACGCUGGCGGCGUGCUUAACACAUGCAAGUCGAACGGAAAGGCCCUGCUUUUGUGCGGUGCUCGAGUGGCGAACGGGUGAGCAACACGUGAGUACCCUGCACUUGCCUGUGAGAUAACUUAAGGCAACUGGGGCUCAUAUCGCAUAGGAGCUCCUGCUGCAUGGUGGGGGUUGGUAAGUUUCGGCGGUUGGGGAUGUACUCGCGGCUUAUCAGCUUGAUCGUUGGGUAGUGUCUUACCAAGGCUUUGAAGGGUAGCAGGCCUGAGAGGGGGACCUGCCACAUUACGCCUGAGAUACGGCCCAGACCCGUACGGGAGGCAACGGUGGGGAAGAUUGCACAAUGGGCGGAAGCCUGAUGCAGCAACGCCGCGUGCGGGAUGACGGCCUGCGGGUUGGAAACCGCUGUCGCCUUAGACGAAGCGUGAGUGACGGUAACGGGUAAAGAAGCACCGGCUAACUACGUG